AUUGGUUGACGAGUCCCAAAUAGGACGAAAUGUGCAUCUUGGAU
rnacentral:hammerhead_ribozyme from 1 species